rnacentral:rRNA from 1 species
GCGUGAGUGAAGAAGGCCUUAGGGUUGUAAAACUCUUUCACCGGUGAAGAUAAUGACGGUAGCCGGAGAAGAAGCCCCGGCUAACUCCGUGCCAGCAGCCGCGGUAAUACGGAGGGGGCUAGCGUUGUUCGGAAUCACUGGGCGUAAAGCGCGCGUAGGCGGUUUAUCAAGUUGGGCGUGAAAGCCCGGGGCUCAACCCCGGAUGUGCGCACAAAACUGAUAGGCUUGAGUCCGGGAGAGGUGAGCGGAAUUCCCAGUGUAGAGGUGAAAUUCGU